rnacentral:rRNA from 1 species
AACGUAGGGGGCGAACGUUAUCCGGAAUUCCUGGGCGUAAAGCGCACGCAGGCGGCUUCGUAAGUCCAACGUGAAAGCUCCCGGCUUAACCGGGAGAGGUCGUUGGAUACUGCGAGGCUCGAGGUUAGGAGAGGGAAGUGGAAUUCCCGGUGUAGUGGUGGAAUACGUAGAUAUCGGGAGGAACUCCAGUGGCGAAGGCGACUUCCUGGCCUACACCUGACGCUGAGGUGCGAAAGCGUGGGGAGCAAACAGG